rnacentral:lncRNA from 1 species
AAUUUAAUUAUUCCAAAUGCCAAUGACAACAUUUGAAGUAUCAGAUGUUAUGUUGUCAGGGAAAAGAUCUGUAUUCCCUCUUAUACUCUGACUCUCUGAGGUGUCCAGUGGCAUAAAGCAAUAAGCAUCAGCAUGCGCAAUGUGAGAACACGAAGAAACUCCCAUUCUACUUUUGGUACUUAAGCUAACAACCUGAUCCCAUGGAAUCAAACAUUUUCUCAUGUACCAGCACGUGAGAAGAAACUGAUUGAUUACCUCACAGUUUGCCUACACCAUUGGUGCUCUCACGGUUUACAAACUCACUUGUCUUAUCUAUUAUCUCAAAUCCAUCUCCUCACCGACAUCACAGCCUCUAUGUAGUGCACUCACUCUCAUGGUAUGUCUACAAUUGGCACCUUGCGGCGGCACAUACAACAAACGUACUGAAUUAGCAUAUACUCUGGUCAGCCGUCAGCACAAAGAAGAAAGAAAGAUGGCAAUAGGAAAAUCAAAAAUUAACAUCUUUUCAUAUGAAACAAGCGUGGAGUGUUGCAUUAUCUCGUUGGCAAUACGUAGUGUAGAUUAGCAACUGAAUUCAACUAACAAACAACUGAAUUUUGUGAAAAGAAAUUCUUAUCCCAUGGUACAUUCCCUAGUCUAAAUAAGAUGACUAUAAAAACUAAAUUCAGCUAAUUAACAACUGACACAUUCGACUAAAAACUACAUUGAGCUAAUUAACAAUGACACUUAGCAUUCCAAUGAAAUUUAUGAGGCAGAACCGUCCAUUGUUCUGUAAAUGUCUAUACCUGACUGAAUAUUGCCCAUUAGAAGAUAGCAGCCAAAUCUGACGAAGCUACUGCAGCAAAUUCUCCAUCAACUCACUCAAGUUACUUCUGAAGGCACUAUGUAAUCACAAAGCAAUUAUUCCCUAGUCUGAACACGAUGAGAUCAAAGUAAGGGUGGGGAGAUGUGCGGAUGAUUACUGACCUGGCUGUGUGUUGGCAGGGGACUGGAAGUGACAGGGGUCAUUGGCGGCUCCCUCAACGAGGGCGGAGGGCACCGACGGCCAAGCCCUUGUGGAGGUUCGAUGGCAGCUCCAUCAGAGGUGCCUGCUGUAACUGAUGGCCGUGCCAUUAGAGGAGGCGGGCAGUGCGGCAGGAGAAGGUGGCGGCAGCGGGCGGGGCGGCUGGAGAAAGCUUUGGCAGAGUAC